GCAGCUGCUUCUCCUCCAGGGCGAUCAUGACCCUCCAGCAGGGAGGCGAGCCGGAGCCCCACAGCAGAGUCAUGUCCUGGGCCAUGAUUUCAGGUUCAAGAGCUUCAAAAUCACGCUUUCGACGAGCUUAGCAACAGUCAGUCUGUUGCACAACAGGCACUAGGCGGAAUUUCGCUUUCUUCGAUUUAUACGCCCACGGGGAAAAAAAUAAUAACGAGUCUCUGUUGCCACCCAGUGGCAGAGAGAGGUAACUGCAUCUCCAGAGGUCAAUGCUGCGUUCAGGCCGUGAUGGAAGUCGGAGCAGUAGACGAACUCCACACACGACAUGAGGACGUUCUGAUUGACAUUCAGAAAACAGUGGGACUUGUUUGUUUUAGCGCUAAAUGUUGGCAAUGCAAAUAUGAAACAAUACAUUUUACAUGAUUAAUGAAUUCAAGGACAACGACAGCACGUUCACAACACGCUCCUGGCCUUGUUCUCUUACUAGUCUCUCUGCUGUUUAUCCACUCUUAUUCUACACUGAGAUA